GCAAUUUUUUUUUCUUAUUUUUAAUAUCAGAAAAUUACGUAUAUCUUCAAUUUGAUUUGUAUUUAGUGGAGUUUAUUUCGCAUUGCCAACAAUCAUAAUUUCUUAUUCUUUUUCAAGAAGUUCGGUUUUUCUUUUCCUAACCCUACAAAUGCUCUAAUUACUGAAUUGUGAUACUGUCUUGAAUUGCCCUCCUUAGCUCAAAAACAACCGUUAAAUCAGAUAAGAAAAACCUAGUCCUAAUAGUUUCAUUUGUAUUCUUGGUAACUGUUUAUAGUUAGAUUGGAGUAUUGCGAAUAAUUUGAAAUACUACGACAAUUAGACUACUAAGAAAGUGAGCAAUCAUCCAAGUCCCCUUUACGGAGAGAGAAGUUGUCCAGCAAAGGGCAAUCAAGAAAAGUAUGAAAACAGGAAAGAUUCUCCUUCAUUUAAGGAGAAGCCACCCGUUCUGUUCCAAAGUACCUUUUUUUCUUUUUUGAUGAACGGGGAGGCGAGAAGCCACCAUACUUUAUGCCAGGUCGGUUUAAGUAUGCGAUUAAUGUCAACAUGAGGUUACAAUAAGUGGUUAGUUCUAGAGACCUUACCUCCUGAAUUUUGCCAUUAAUCCACAGUCAGUCAAUAAAGAUUAGGCAAUGCUGGUUGGUGGAACUGUCGUUGGGAGGAAAGUAGAGUAUGGAGCUAGUUUAGUUGGGAAAAUGGAGAAAUAUUAUGGAGGGUAAGAUUUAGGAAUCAAGGGAACCAAAUAUCGAGUCUAAUUAUUUAGUCUUUAGAGAGAUGAUGCUAUGAUAAAAUUUUUAUAAACUGUUACCUGUUGUAGGCUCAGGUUUAGGGUGUGGUGGCAUAUUUGAGGACGUCUUCAAGUUGGAUAAAAUAUGCGGAAGGUUGUGGAACUAUGGCCUUUGGAAUAUACUGUAAUUAUUACAUGAAGAGAUGCCUCAGCGAUCAGAAAGUAUUAUUGGAUUGGCCAUGAAACAAGUUGGAGUAUUGGGCGACAAGGGCGAUUUGUAUACACAGAAUGGACUUGGUAGAGACGAGAGAUAGCAGUAAAAGGAAAUAUGGUGGAGGGCUGAAUUGGAUGGUGUGUGCUUAUAAUCAGCACAAGCCCAAAAUGGUUUUAAUUAAGAGGAUGGAUACAUGUCAACUGUUAAGGAUUUACAAUGCAGAGGAACAAGGUCUAAGAAGACUUAGAUGGGCUGAAGGUUUUGAAAAUUCUCAACAUGAUGUACGAUAAAAUCUUUAAGGAAAGGCUUGUACAUUAUGGACUUAUAGAAGCAAUUUCAUAAAAAAAAGGAAUGUUUUUAUAUUGUAAAAAAUCUUUCUUAAUUUCAGUAUGAAAUUCAUGUAUACUUAUAUGUAUAUGCACAUCUAUAUGUGUGUGUCUCUGCAAGAAUAUAUCCAAUACCAGAAUACUGCAGAAUGGUGAUCCAUCCGUGCAUAUAGGGUCAUGGAAGAGCUCCAGAAGCAACUGCAAAGCAUUUCAUGUGACAGCUAACUGCUGAUCCCAUCAGGACCAAAGGCAUAUUUUUGGUUGAUCGAUAACUGUUUGCAAAAGAUAUGUUAUUGGAACACGAUCAGAUCUAAAGGGAAAUUACCGUAAUCCCAGCUUUAAGAGAUUUCCUCGAUUUGUUGGAUGCUGAAGAUGUUGAGUUCUCCAUAUUCAGAAGCAGAGCUUGAUCAUUGUGUUUCUCCAUUUCAGGGAGCCUGAAAAUGUGGCACUCCAUUAUCCAAGCUUUGAUUGAACUAUUGAGGAUUAGUGGUGCAGCCCAUCCAACAAUCCGUUUGGCAGUUUUCCACCUUUUCCCGGCUUCUGUUUGUUUCUGCAUCAACGUCUAUGUGACAACAAAUAACUCCACAUGCAAUUAAUCAAGGGAUAUCUUUAAAAAGAUAAAGAGAUGGAAGGGCGGAGACCCAGCCGCACGAUAAUUACCCAGAUGCCAACGCGUGGAGGUGCACCAUCUAAGAUUUCGUCCAUAAGUUGUAAUUGCUAAGGAAAAGUGUAAGCCCACUGAAAGAAAGUCCUUGUUCAGGUAAAUUCAAGUUUUUACCAUUCUUAAAUUUAUGUCAGAGAAAACAAUUUGUCAAGCUAUUUGUAAGUAAAUUUAAUAUGAACUUGAAUAGAUACGUAAUUGAGUCCCAGUACACCCCUUCAAUAUUUAUUCUAGAGGUCGAUGUGGCAUAGAUCAGCUCGAUAGCAAGUUCAAUUAGCAGUAGAUUUCUACCCAAAAAAAAAAACAUUAGCAGUAGAUUUCUAUGGGAGGGAAAACAUCAAUAGCAAGGUUACUUCGAGUACAGAAUGCUCUUCCAACUUAUAACAGUACUAAUAGAACAGCUCGGUUGAAAUAUUUUUUUCAGGAUGCUGGUUGUUUUUGGUUAGCUUUCAUUGGAAUAGCAUAAAGAAUGUGUCAAGCGGCCAAAUCAGAUUUGACUGCAUGUGACUGGGAGUAGGCUUUGAGAGCCAAGACUGACGCUUUGAUUUUUACCAGCUAACAUCCCAUUUCCUCAUUAUACAACUGUAACC